AAGACCUUACGCUUUUGGAGCGGCCGAUGUCUGAUUAGCUUGUUGGUGAGGUAAAGGCUUACCAAGGCUUCGAUCAGUAGCUGGUCUGAGAGGACGACCAGCCACACUGGGACUGAGACACGGCCCAGACUCCUACGGGAGGCAGCAGUGGGGAAUUUUGGACAAUGGGGGAAACCCUGAUCCAGCCAUGCCGCGUGAGUGAAGAAGGCCUUCGGGUUGUAAAGCUCUUUCAGCCGGAACGAAACGGUUACGAUUAAUACCUGUAACUACUGACGGUACCGGAAGAAGAAGCACCGGCUAACUACGUGUCAGCAGCCGCGGUAAUACGUAGGGUGCGAGCGUUAAUCGGAAUUACUGGGCGUAAAGCGUGCGGAGGUGGUUUUGUAAGUCAGAUGUGAAAUCCCCGGGCUUAACCUGGGAACU
rnacentral:rRNA from 1 species